rnacentral:rRNA from 1 species
GAUGAACGCUGGCGGCGUGCCUAAUACAUGCAAGUCGAACGAAACUUCUUUAUCACCGAGUGCUUGCACUCACCGAUAAAGAGUUGAGUGGCGAACGGGUGAGUAACACGUGGGCAACCUGCCCAAAAGAGGGGGAUAACACUAGGAAACAGGUGCUAAUACCGCAUAACCAUAGUUACCGCAUGGUAACUAUGUAAAAGGUGGCUAUACUACCGCUUUUGGAUGGGCCCGCGGCGCAUUAGCUAGUUGGUAGGGUAAAGGCUUACCAAGGCAAUGAUGCGUAGCCGAAUUGAGAGGUUGAUCGGCCACAUUGGAACUGAGACACGGCCCAAACUCCUACGGGAGGCAGCAGUAGGGAAUCUUCCACAAUGGGCGAAAGCCUGAUGGAGCAACGCCGCGUGGGUGAAGAAGGUCUUCGGAUCGUAAAACCCUGUUGUUAGAGAAGAAAGUGCGUGAGAGUAACUGUUCACGUUUCGACGGUAUCUAACCAGAAAGCCACGGCUAACUACGUG